AUGGCCUGGGCUCCUCUGCUCAUCCUUCUCACUCUCUGCACAGGGUCUUGGGCUGAGGCUGCCCUGACUCAGCCAGCUGCAGUGUCGGGGCUGUGGGGAAGGCGGUCACCAUCACCUGCACUGGAGGCACAGGCAACGUGGGGCGUGGACAUCCAGACUGGUACCUGCAGCUGCCCGGCAGGCCCCCCAGCGUGCUCAUCCAUGAUGGCAGUAUGCGGCCCUCAGGGGUGCCGGACAGGUUCACAGGGUCCGUGUCUGGGAACACGGCCUCCCUCACCAUCGCUGGGCUGCAGCCUGAGGAUGAGGCUGAUUACUACUGUGCCGCAUGGGACAGCAGCCUGCAUGCUGACACAGUGCUGUGGAUCCAGGUCCAUCAGUCACUGUUUAUCGAGUGCAAUACUUUCUGUGAAUUCGCUGGAGGAACUCACAGGUUUGUAAGACUCACCACAGGGAACCUGCAUCUAGAAAUUUAG